CACUGUGCUCCGUGCGUUGAAUCUAGUUUUUCCGUCAGUUUACACUGUGCUUCCUGGAGCCAUUUUUCUCUUAUCUCUCUCAUUGGCAGAGCUUCUGUGACUCUGGUCUCAGUCUUCUUUCACCCCAGAACCAUGGUCGCUGCUCACCUAACCAUCUGUGGAUGCACCAAGACGAAGAGUGCACUGGAAUCGUUGCAGUCAAGCUUGGACCAAGCGUGAAAUGAUAAUUUGUAUGGAAAACCCAGAAGACUCC
rnacentral:lncRNA from 1 species